rnacentral:rRNA from 1 species
AUUGAACGCUGGCGGCAGGCCUAACACAUGCAAGUCGAGCGGUAGAGAGGUGCUUGCACCUCUUGAGAGCGGCGGACGGGUGAGUAAUGCCUAGGAAUCUGCCUGGUAGUGGGGGAUAACGCUCGGAAACGGACGCUAAUACCGCAUACGUCCUACGGGAGAAAGCGGGGGACCUUCGGGCCUUGCGCUAUCAGAUGAGC